rnacentral:rRNA from 1 species
CAGGCCUAACACAUGCAAGUCGAGCGGGGUUUUCGGACCUAGCGGCGGACGGGUGAGUAAUGCGUAGGAAGCUACCCGAUAGAGGGGGAUACCAGUUGGAAACGACUGUUAAUACCGCAUAAUGUCUACGGACCAAAGUGUGGGACCUUCGGGCCACAUGCUAUCGGAUGCGCCUACGUGGGAUUAGCUAGUUGGUGAGGUAAUAGCUCACCAAGGCGACGAUCCCUAGCUGGUUUGAGAGGAUGAUCAGCCACACUGGAACUGAGACACGGUCCAGACUCCUACGGGAGGCAGCAGUGGGGAAUAUUGGACAAUGGGCGCAAGCCUGAUCCAGCCAUGCCGCGUGUGUGAAGAAGGCCUUCGGGUUGUAAAGCACUUUCAGUAGGGAGGAAGCGUUGAGUGUUAAUAGUACUCAGCGUUGACGUACCUCAGAGAGCCGGUAC